UACGGAGGAUCCAAGCGUUAUCCGGAUUUAUUGGGUUUAAAGGGUGCGUAGGCGGCCUGUUAAGUCAGGGGUGAAAGACGGUAGCUCAACUAUCGCAGUGCCCUUGAUACUGAUGGGCUUGAAUGUACUAGAGGUAGGCGGAAUGUGACAAGUAGCGGUGAAAUGCAUAGAUAUGACAUAGAACACCAAUUGCGAAGGCAGCUCACUACCCAGAUAUUGACACUGAGGCACGAAAGCGUGGGGAUCAAACAGG
rnacentral:rRNA from 1 species